GACGAACGCUGGCGGCGUGCCUAAUACAUGCAAGUAGAACGCUGAAGGAGGAGCUUGCUUCUCUGGAUGAGUUGCGAACGGGUGAGUAACGCGUAGGUAACCUGCCUGGUAGCGGGGGAUAACUAUUGGAAACGAUAGCUAAUACCGCAUAAUAGUAGAUGUUGCAUGACAUUUGCUUAAAAGGUGCAAUUGCAUCACUACCAGAUGGACCUGCGUUGUAUUAGCUAGUUGGUGGGGUAACGGCUCACCAAGGCGACGUUACAUAGCCGACCUGAGAGGGUGGCGGGCCACAGGGGGACGGGGCCACGGCCCAGCCCCCGAGGGGAGGAGGAAGAAGGGAAUUUGGGGCAAUGGACGGAAGUCGAACGGAGAAACGCGGGGGGAGGGAAGAGGGUUUUCGGAUCGAAAAGUUUUGUUGAAGGAGAAGAACGGGGGGGGGAGGGAAAAUUUCACACGGGGCGGUUUUCUAACAAAAAGGGGACGGCUAACUACGUC
rnacentral:rRNA from 1 species